UACGUAGGGUGCGAGCGUUGUCCGGAAUUAUUGGGCGUAAAGAGCUCGUAGGCGGUGUGUCACGUCGAUCGUGAAAACUUACAGCUUAACUGUGAGCGUGCGGUCGAUACGGGCAUCACUGGAGUUCGGCAGGGGAGACUGGAAUUCCUGGUGUAGCGGUGAAAUGCGCAGAUAUCAGGAGGAACACCGGUGGCGAAGGCGGGUCUCUGGGCCGAUACUGACGCUGAGACGCGAAAGCGUGGGGAGCGAACAGG
rnacentral:rRNA from 1 species